CCUACGGGAGGCAGCAGUGAGGAAUAUUGGUCAAUGGGCGCAAGGCUGAACCAGCCAAGUCGCGUGAAGGACGACUGCCCUACGGGUUGUAAACUUCUUUUAUAAAGGAAGAAUAUGAGCCACGUGUGCCUUUAUGCCUGUACUUUAUGAAUAAGGAUCGGCUAACUCCGUGCCAGCAGCCGCGGUAAUACGGAGGAUCCGAGCGUUAUCCGGAUUUAUUGGGUUUAAAGGGGGCGUAGGUGGGUUGUUAAGUUAGUUGUGAAAGCUUGGGGCUCAACCGUAGAAUUGCAAUUAAUACUGGCAGACUUGAGUACAGACGAGGUAGGCGGAAUACGUGAAGUAGCGGUGAAAUGCUUAGAUAUAACGAAGAACUCCGAUAGCGAAGGCAGCUUACUAGACUGCGACUGACGUUGAUGCUCGAGAGUGUGGGUAGCAAACAGGAUUAGAUACCCCAGUAGUC
rnacentral:rRNA from 1 species